ACACACACACACAGACUUAAAUUUAGGAAAUUAUAUGUUAUUAAAAUUUAUUACGUUGCGAUGCAAAUAUAACAUGCAAAAUUUAUUUUCUGAAAAUUUCAGAUUCAUUAUUUAAAUAUUUAAAUCGGUUUAAUAAAUCGUAUCUGAAAUUAAACGAUUCAAAUGCUAAAAUGGAUACAAAUAUAGAUGAAAUAUAGAAGUGAAUUGAUUAAAGACUAUUGUUACAUAAUUAAAUUAUUCUUAUUACAUGUUUGUCUUUUAAGAUUUUUUAAAUAUUUUGACUAUCUAUUGUAAUUACAAUUUCUAGAUUUAUACUUUUUGAGGAAUUAUAUAUAUGGAUGUACAAUAUAUGUUAUUUUUCACUCAAUUUAUCUUAUCUGUUUAUCAAGUAUAAAUGCAAAUUAAAAAAUAAUUCUUAAGUGAGUGUUGAUGUCAUGAUAUAUUAUUGUUCAAUUUAUAUUUACAUAUUGGAUCCAUUUCGCAACAGAUGAUUUAAGUUUCUUUUUUGCACAUUCAUAUAUUUAUAUUAAAAAUUAAAUUCACCCAAAUUAUAUCGAUCUCAAUUCUUACUCGUAAAAAAAUAGAAACAUCAUUAAUGAUGAACGUAGAAGAAAAUUAAUGUUAAAAGAAUAUUAUUAUUUAUAGUAAAAUUCAUGAGCUGCUAAUGUAAACAUCAUGACAGUAAAAGAAAAAGAAAAUAGCCCGAAAGUCACUGUCAUUACUGAAAUUUUAUAAUUCACGUUACGUAUAGUAUGGAUUUUCAGUACCUGCAGUGUAUAUCGGAAUGCAGACUAAGAUCGUUCAUUGACUUUCCGUUAUCGAUAGAAUGAAACAAAAGUAAUCAAGUUCCUUUAUUGUAAGAUAAUUACCUUAACUCAUUAAAUAUUCCCAAACGCGCCGUCGAGGAAUUUUCUCUGAUGUCGCGUAAGCGCGUGAAGUUAGCCGCGAGAAAUUGACCGUGAUGACGCGAGCGAAUUUCGUAACCGUCGCGUCGGUCAGUUCGUGUCGCGUGUCGCCGCUAUGUAGCCGAUUCCGCGAUCGCUCCGCGUCCUCGCGUCUUCUCGCCUGCUUUGGGCGAGGAGAAGUGUUGAAUUUGAUCGACGAUACGUCGAUCGAUAAUCGCGACAUUCACAUCUUUCCGGACGUGGUGUGCGUUCGUCCUACCGUUCGGUAGGGUCUAGAUUCCGAUACGUGCGUGUCGCGUACGUGUGUUUCGUCUCGUCGCUCGUGCUGUCCGUUCUAUCGAGAACAGCGUUGUGGGACCGCCGUGAUGAAUCAAUCGGGACAUUCGCUAGAACGGCAUUCGCCGUAAUUGAUAAUUCGACGGCGCGGCGUUGAUCCUUGAUGCGUAAACUUCACGCCGGUCGCGAGAGAGAAAAGGCAGAGUCCCCGCGCAAGCCCUGAAUUCAGAGUAGGUGUUUGCAGGCGAUUGUUUUGCGUUGCGAACGCGUUUCCUAGCGAUUGACGCAGAUUACGUCGUGCCGUUCGUCGACGUUCGAAAGAGUUUGUCGCGAGUGUGCACGUUUCGCGUUGUUUCGGGAGUGCAAUCGUCGGAUUGAUGUGUCGACGGACUUGAUUGAAGGUUAGGUUAGGUUAGGUUGUUCCCGUGUGUCUUUCGCCGACAUCGAUCGCCAUCGAUAAUAAUGCCGUCUAAUAACGAUGUGGAUGUGUUGUGUUAUUUCGCUAAUUGUAAUCCGAACGCGGAUGUUUCUAACAAUUGUAAAAAAAUUGACAGACUAGAAGAGCAUCGAGGAACGGAAACUCGCCGUAGCCGAUUUAAUCCGAAAGAGGGAUGAUUGUUGCUCGUUUACAACGUUCGACGGUUUUCGGACGAUCUCGUCUAGACGUAAAGGCAGUGAGACACACGCACUGUGGGCACGCGCUCGAGGUAUAUCGGUAAGUGGGUUAUCCUUUCUCCCAAUAAUAAUGACGACAGCUCGUCUAUUAUGCCGCCGACUCUGGGUCUUCCGGUACCUUCGCACCACAGAAUGAUAACGGUUUCGUUGCCGGUCCGCUUGGUCGCGUUUUUUAUCCGUUUCCCCGCGGAGGAGACACAACUAUUUCUCCAAACAACCUCAUCAAGAGUCAUCACCGUAAUUCCGUGGAAAGCUUCGACGAUGAUCCGUCGAUGUGAUUUUUUUUCGUCGAUCCAACUUGUUCUUACGACAAACCUUCUUAUACUCGCUAUUCGUAUCGUCACUUUCGAUUUCGAUCGGUGAUCAUUGACUAUACGAGUUCUACGACGGAAACGAGGAUCUCGUCGCAAUCUCGAGAUACUUGACCCGAAGUUGCGAGUGUCCGUUCGAUCAAUGCGGAAUGCUAUGCCGAUUCACCGGGCAUGCACUCGAUCGCCCCCUCAAAUCAAAUCGAUAUUGAAUCCGUACGCGUAGAUAACGUUUGAUUCAUUACAUUAAUUAUCUCCGACUAUCACGUGACGAGUCUCUUCCUCUGCGGAUCAAUAAUACUGCACGAUCACUCGACGCGAUUCUCCUCGAUCGUCGCCACUUGCUUGGGAACCAACUGCUCUUAGCGAGAUUCGGUGUCAAAUAUUCUCUGAGAAUCACUUUUGUAUGCACGAAACAAAAUAUUAAUCUUCUCGAUGACUCGAGGGCAAUGUGAUUGUCAAAUGUAUUAAUUGUUGAAUCCCACUCUGAUCAAUCCCCUCUUUGCUUCUCUUCUCGUGAAACUUCUUGCAAUUGCGUUUAGUGCACGCGUGUUGCAUCUGGAUCGUUCCCCGCUGUGUGUGCGUAUGUACGUACGCGCGUGCGUGUGUGCGUGGAUCAAAAUGGCAGUCACAAUCGAACGAUGAUUAGGUAACACAAUCACCCUUUUUCCCUUUUUAUUUCGCGACUCGUUUACCAGAAAAUCACAUCGAUACUUCGGCACGGUCUCGCUCAUAAACGAUAUCCGAAAUCGUUUUCUCGAACACCAGGGAAAUAAUCAAAAUCGUCGCUUUAUCACGUGGUCUCAUCACAAUCCUGGAUUUCCGUGUCGAAAGAUAAACUGUGCCUCCUCCUUUCUCCUUCUAAGCAAAUCGGCCACGAUCGAUAGGUCAGUUCUGUUGGUUCCUCCCUCCAAAAAAAAAAAAAA